GGGUCCUAGGUGGACGCUCAGCCACGGAGCCACCGGGGCCGGGUGGAAUAUUCCGUUUAUUCCCAUCACCACGCUAGGAAACUGCCCGGAGACGUCGACUCCCUCCAGCACCCAGAAGGGAGAAGGCCACGUGCGCGCCGGCCCCGGGACAGGACCCCACACCCCCAUCCGCUGUCGCAUGACCACACGUGUCCACAGCUCAGCCUGGCUGCGCUCGCCCCCCCUGAGUCCUGUAGCACGCACGUUCUCAUGAAGCGGCAGCAAGAUAGAACGGAAAGACACGUUCGAUUCCGAAGGGAAAGUCCUCAAAGACCAGCUGCCAAUUAACCAGCGGCCACGGCGUCUGUCCAGCAGCUUCUCACGGUGGACGCGUUUCUGGAGGCGGCCCAGUGGUUCUUGAAUCUGAGUGAGAUCAGCCAGCAGACGUAAUCCGCGUGUUUCCUGAGCAGCAGUGACGACAGAGCCCAGGCCGCGUCGAGAGUCUCAUUUUAAGAGAAUAUUUGUAUUGACUUCAGAGAGGAUGGAAGAGGGAGAGACAGAAACAUCAGUGAUGAGUGAGAAUCAUGGAUCGACUGCCUCCUGCUCGCCCCACACUGGGGAUCGAGCCCGCAUCCCGAGGUGAAGAUGUGACGUGCCCUCAACCAGAAUAGAACCGGGGACCCUUUGGUCCGCAGGCCGACGCUCUGUCCACUGCGCCAACCCCCCAGGGCUCAGAGUCUUGUGUCUGAUGGAAUCGCACUGUCUGGGAUGGACGCUGGGAAACUCCACCCGCCAAGCUCGUCGCCGAAAGCGCGCUCACGGCCCGAGAGUCUGUCCGCAGCCUCUGCUGGCCGAGAGGGCUGGCUCAGGAGAGCUCCCUCAGGUGGGGGACUCUGUCCCGCGGGGAGACGGCCGUGGAUUCCAGCCCUGGCUUAGCCACAUCACUGUGACCUCUCGUGAGUAACCUGCCUUCGUAGCCUCGGUCGCCUUUUCUGUGGUCGGUGACAGCGCUGUAAACACGGAAGGAGCCGGGCUGUACUCAUGGAGGCUGUUUUGUGUUCUGCCCGACAAACCACACCCAGCACAGCAGCCAGAGACGCGGCCGCCUCCUUACGUGGGUGAAGGUGGAGACGGGGCGGAACUCCAUCAGGACCGGGGGUUUCCAAUGACUCAGUAAGAAUAUUCGUAGUUGACACCCGGGGACAGAAUCCAGGCUCCCCCAGCAGCAGGUUGAGCCCACGUGCCUGGUAUAUUAAUAGAACUGCUCAAUUCUUUGCUUCAUUUCUUAGGGGAUGUUUUGCACCACGUUAUCAAAAUACAUAAAAGCGCUGGUGCUCCAUGCUGGUGAAGAUGCGACGGGCCUGGAACUGUUGGCUGCCCCGUGUGCGACUGUGCAGGAAGCAAUCUACUUCCCGGGGAGAAAACGCUGACGGAGACUCUCAACCAACAAAGCGGAAGCUGCAUCAGCUAACGUAUCGACCACGCCAGCCAGGGCGUCUCAGGGGAAAAACAUAUUGAAAGUAUCCAACCACAAGAGCACGUCUGAAAACACCGAGCUCCUCCUCCACACGCAGCCUUCUGAAGAGGAUCAUCUGGAAGCAUGUGGAUGAGCAUCAGAGCAGCUUCUGAUAUAAGCAACUGAGAGCAGACGGCAGCGUUCUCCGUUGACACGGCUGCCGCACGCGGACACGUUCGCCUGCGGCCGCAGCCUGGAAGGCACGCGUCAGAAUGAAAGGCAGGUGGGUAGGAAGAUGCUGAGAUUACGGCUGUUCCCUCCAAACGCUACUUUCAUGUCACUUCGUGGUUUUUGAAAGAAAGCAGUGCGGGGAGCUGGGACUUCCUGCCCAUCGUUCGCGGGCGUCUAUCUUACGAUCGUACCGUCAUGUAAUCACAGCGAGAGCCCCAGAGACCCCGCCCCCCGGUGUGAUGGCGCUGAGAUAGGGAAGCGCGCGCUGAGGCAGACCUUGUGCCAGCGCCGGAGGUCAGCGAGCGGAAGGACAGCCUGGCUCCGGGUCCCGGGGCAGCGGAAGGCCGAGCGGAAGGACAGCCUGGCUCCGGAUCCCGGGGCAGCGGAAGGCCCUGGCAUUCACCCCGAGGGGAUUUGCAUCCCUCGGUUCUCACAGCGACGGCCUGUUCCUGACUCCGGUUCCCUCUGCCGCCCUGAGAGUAAUCGGCACAUAAUUGGUGUCCAAUCAGAUGCCAGCUGAGCAGGAAGUGACUAAACGAAUAUAGAAGGACCGAGCGUCUGUCGUUAGAAGUAAUUGCAAGGCCGUUUCCAUGGGCUCAUUCGCGUUUUGAAGUGUGUCCUCCGUGGGAACCGGAACGCACCCUCCAGCCCUCAGGACCCGCCCUCGCACGGUCGAGGGUCGCGGACGGGCUGCAGCCGACAUCCCGCCCGUCCAGGGGCCGCGCCUCUGCUUCUCCCACAGCCGCCCCUCUUUGUUGGUCGCCCGCUGCGCCCGGACCCAGGGUUGUGCUACCCCCCUCCCACCCCCCCACAGGUCCUGCUCCCUCUCUAGCUGCCAGAGGGACGGAGAGAAUCCGACUGAUGCUCAACCACUGAGCCACACCUGCCGUCCUCCGCCUCGACUGUUAAUAUCUGCCCGCCUGCCUUCAGCAAGAGCCCCGUCAGGUCAGUUUGGCAAGAACAAUCCCCGCCUCCCCCCCCCACCACCCCCCUGCAGGUGCCCUCUUAGCUGACCUCGUGCUCCUCGGCGGCAGGGCACGACAUUUGGAGGUGAGCCCGUCCCUGUCUCAUUGCAAUGGAUUCGCCACUAUGGCGGGGCCUGGAGACCUCGCCACGUCAGCGUGUGGCAGGUCACCUGCGUGUGACCCUGGAGCGUAACAGCCCUGCCCGGCCCGGCCUGUGCGCUCUCAGCCCCUCGGAGUUUAUGGAACCGGCUCCCGGCCCCGUCUCCUGGGAAGCGCUGGGGAAAGCCACAUUGUCGCUCCCUCCUGGGGGGCUUUUGUGGCUGUUUUUGGACCCCUGAGAGCGCUGAUGGGCCGGAGGUCUUUCCAGCAGUGGGACACGCAACGCAGGCGUCCCCGGGUUCCUCGCCUUCUUUUUGUGGGGCACCCCGGCCUCCGGCGCCCGCGCACCCCUGGGGGAAGCGGGGGCCCUCAGACGGGUGGAAUGAGCCCUGACCGCAACCCUACGGCCACGGAGGCACCGGCAUUGCUGAAAGGAGGCGGCCACGGGGGCUUUUAUAAAAGGGACGGAGAGGCCGUUAUAAAGGAUGCUCUGCGCCCGGGCGAGACCGCGCUGCCGGCUGACGUCCUCGGAGAAGCUCCGGCAUCGGAGGGAGCGCGGAGAGACCGUGGCCACAACCCGCGCGGGCUGAGAGUCCGCCGCCAGAGAAAAGCCCAAUUAGAGCCAAAUUAUGCCAACAGAUGGCAAGGCUGCCAGGAAAGGGAGCCACCCCCGCCGCCUGAAUCAGAUCCAGGCUGGGAACAAUAUUGACUUUGUUGUUAUAUAAAGAAACCCGACACGGCAAUUAAGAAGAUGAUUAAGGAAGGUAUCCCUGAGAUGAAAGACGGGCUAUUUAUGGACACGGAGAGGUGUCUUUCUAAAAGGGACAGCGGCAGCCCGGCCGGCGUGGCUCCGUGGCUGAGCGUCAACCUAUGAACCGGAGGACAGGGCACAGGCCCGGGUUGUGGGCUCCAUCCUCAGUAGGGGGUGUGC